UACGUAGGGGGCAAGCGUUGUCCGGAAUUAUUGGGCGUAAAGAGCUCGUAGGCGGCUCAUUGCGUCAACCGUGAAAACUUGUGGCUCAACUACAAGCUUGCGGUUGAUACGGGUGGGCUGGAGUUCGGUAGGGGAGACUGGAAUUCCUGGUGUAGCGGUGAAAUGCGCAGAUAUCAGGAGGAACACCGGUGGCGAAGGCGGGUCUCUGGGCCGAUACUGACGCUGAGGAGCGAAAGCGUGGGGAGCGAACAGG
rnacentral:rRNA from 1 species